rnacentral:lncRNA from 1 species
AGUUGCAGUGAGAUGUGAGGCACUUGCAGAGACUCAGUCCACCACCCUGGGCAGCUUUCACCACCCUGGGCAGCUUUUCCGAGACGUAGGGACUGGCUUGCCGUAAUUCAUAGCUUCUGCUGUCCCUUGCUACAUACCUUAUGUUUCAGGCUUCGUAUUAAGUGUCAAAGAUCCCAUGACAAGACAGCUCCCCUGCUUGCUGGGAGGACGUGGUGAGGACAGGGUACAUCUGAAACCUCUGGUGUGUCUGGCAGAGUUGCAAACGACUAGAUUCCAUCCAAGAUCAAAUGAAUCAGAAUCUGUGGCAUUUCAUUCAAGGGCCCUGAUGUAUCUGAAGGAGAGAUUUUGCCAAAAGGAGUUUUAAUGUAACCGAAGGAAAGAGAGAAACAGCCAGAAAAGAAGGUUAGGGAAGUAAGCAAACCCCUGAAGCACAAAGAAGAGAAGAAAUGGCAAGGAGGAAAAAAAGAAGAGGAGGCAAAGAAAUAAAUGUUAAAGAUGGAGCAAAAAUAAGAAAAAAAAACAUUCUAUGAGAGGGAAGAAGAAAAAGGAAAAAGAGUGGAAGCAAGAAUUGGAGGAAUGAAGAAUCUUGCUAGAGAGAAAAAAAAAUGUUAUUUCCUAAUAGUUUCUAUUAGGACAUUUGCUUAAACAUAUCAGUAUCUCAGACUCUGCCACUUCAAAGUGUAUUUUACUUCAGAUCAGUGAAUUUUAUUGUCUAUAAAUAUAAACAAAUUUCAGUUUAAAAAGCAUAUUUAAAAAUAUUUUAAGUAUUACUGUUGAGAAUUUUUUAAUAAACAACUUCCACUGGCCA